rnacentral:rRNA from 1 species
UACAGAGGUGGCAAGCGUUGUUCGGAAUUAUUGGGCGUAAAGAGCUCGUAGGUGGCUUGUCACGUCGGGUGUGAAAGCUUGGGGCUUAACUCCAGGUCUGCAUUCGAUACUGGCUGGCUAGAGGUAGGUAGGGGAGAACGGAAUUCCUGGUGUAGCGGUGAAAUGCGCAGAUAUCAGGAGGAACCCCGGUGGGGAAGGCGGUUCUCUGGGCCUUACCUGACGCUGAGGAGCGAAAGCGUGGGGAGCGAACAGG